GGGGGCGCACGCUUCGACGGAGAAACUCCUUUGAAAACUGCAGGCAGAGCUGAUCGCCUCUUGAAUCCGAUCAAACAACAACUGCUAACAAACAAUUAGCACCUGCAUACGCUUAAGAACGUACAGUUCUCGCGUACGCACAUCGGACCCUGAUAUCUCAUAGGAGAAUCUCCGGUGUUAUAUAUGAGAUGUACCCGCACCAAGCUCUUCCGUAGGUGUGGGGACAUUAAGGAAGAAAAAUUUGCUUAGUCUUCGGACUAAACUAUGUCUGUAGACGGUUUUCGAAGUUUUUUCUGGACGGGGGUUCAAUCCUCCCGCCUCCACUG
rnacentral:tmRNA from 2 species